rnacentral:rRNA from 2 species
AAAUUGAAGAGUUUGAUCAUGGCUCAGAUUGAACGCUGGCGGCAGGCCUAACACAUGCAAGUCGAACGGUAACAGGAAGCAGCUUGCUGCUUCGCUGACGAGUGGCGGACGGGUGAGUAAUGUCUGGGAAACUGCCUGAUGGAGGGGGAUAACUACUGGAAACGGUGGCUAAUACCGCAUAACGUCGCAAGACCAAAGAGGGGGACCUUCGGGCCUCUUGCCAUCAGAUGUGCCCAGAUGGGAUUAGCUAGUUGGUGAGGUAACGGCUCACCAAGGCGACGAUCCCUAGCUGGUCUGAGAGGAUGACCAGCCACACUGGAACUGAGACACGGUCCAGACUCCUACGGGAGGCAGCAGU